UACGGAGGGUGCUAGCGUUGUUCGGAAUCACUGGGCGUAAAGCGCGUGUAGGCGGCCCACUAAGUCUGAUGUGAAAGCCCGGGGCUCACCCCCGGAAGUGCAUUGGAAACUGGUGGACUCGAGUCCCGGAGAGGAGGGUGGAAUUCCUGGUGUAACGGUGAAAUGCGUAGAUAUCAGGAGGAACACCGGUGGCGAAGGCGGCCCUCUGGACGGUGACUGACGCUGAGACGCGAAAGCGUGGGGAGCAAACAGG
rnacentral:rRNA from 1 species